GCUAAAGAGAACAAAGAGCUGCAUGGCCAUUUCAUCUUCUUCUUGAUAAAGAAAUGUUUUCUCCCAUAGCCUUUCUACAUUCUGCAGCCACCUUCCACUAUGAUUUUGGCACCUUACACAAGUCUCACUGACUUCAGUUGGACUUCUCCCAGGCCUUAGUUCAGGAAUGGCAUCUAAGUGAGCCUAUCAAAGCGCAUCCUCUUGCACCUUCGUUUGCCACUGAGCACUUCUUCCUGCUUUAACCAGCAGCACCUUCCCUGCUUCCCAGCGCGUUCCGGAUCUGACAGCGCAAACUGAGGACGCGCGGGCUGCGGGGAGCGCAGCCUCCAGCCGCACCAGCAGCGCGGCACAGGACUGCCAGGUCCCAUCAGCGCCUGAGCCGCUGUCUCCGAGGCUACUUUCAGCACUGGUUGAUGCUGAGAAGACCGUUAAAAUUCAGACUCCACCCAC
rnacentral:lncRNA from 1 species